rnacentral:rRNA from 1 species
GGCGAACGCUGGCGGCGUGCUUAACACAUGCAAGUCGAACGGAAAGGCCCUGCUUUUGUGGGGUGCUCGAGUGGCGAACGGGUGAGUAACACGUGAGUAACCUGCCCUUGACUUUGGGAUAACUUCAGGAAACUGGGGCUAAUACCGGAUAGGAGCUCCUGCUGCAUGGUGGGGGUUGGAAAGUUUCGGCGGUUGGGGAUGGACUCGCGGCUUAUCAGCUUGUUGGUGGGGUAGUGGCUUACCAAGGCUUUGACGGGUAGCCGGCCUGAGGGGGUGACCGGCCACAUUGGGACUGAGAUACGGCCCAGACUCCUACGGGAGGCAGCAGUGGGGAAUAUUGCACAAUGGGCGGAAGCCUGAUGCAGCAACGCCGCGUGCGGGAUGACGGCCUUCGGGUUGUAAACCGCUUUCGCCCGUGACGAAGCGUGAGUGACGGUAAUGGGUAAAGAAGCACCGGCUAACUACGUG